rnacentral:lncRNA from 1 species
AAUUUUGUUUCUUUUAAGCUUAAAGUACAUAAAACUUCCUUAUAAAUAUUCACUUUUUUACUUUUUUUUUUUUCUGAACUUUUAAAAACCUACACUUUAUCCCCUCCCUCCCCAAUAAGGGUUUCAUCUGUUCCAUCUAUGUUUUAUAAUUUAUAUUAAAAAUAUCAUUGAAUAUUACAGAAUAUAUUAAUUUUUUUCUCUAAAAAAGAGCAAUUUGAUCAUUUCACCCUCCUAUUAAUGCUGUUAUCCAUUGAAAAUAUUUUUUAAAUUUUAAGGAAACAAAAUAUAGAUUUUUAAAUGUCAGAAAAGAAAAAUAAAAAAAAAGUAAUAUUUACAAACAUAUUUUCUAUAUUGUAGCCUUCUUUUUAAAUUUAAUAGCAAUAGUACUCCAAA